rnacentral:rRNA from 1 species
UACGUAGGGACCAAGCGUUGUUCGGAUUUACUGGGCGUAAAGGGCGCGUAGGCGGCAUGACAAGUCACUUGUGAAAUCUCCGGGCUUAACUCGGAACGGCCAAGUGAUACUGUCACGCUAGAGUGCAGAAAGGGCAAUCGGAAUUCUUGGUGUAGCGGUGAAAUGCGCAGAUAUCGGGAGGAACACCAGUAGCGAAGGCGGCUCGCUGGGCCAUUCCUGACGCUGAGACGCGAAAGCUAGGGGAGCGAACAGG